rnacentral:rRNA from 1 species
GAUGAACGCUAGCGGCAGGCCUAAUACAUGCAAGUCGGACGGGAUUCAGGAGCUUGCUUCUGAUGAGAGUGGCGCACGGGUGCGUAACACGUAUGUAACCUACCUUUAUCAGGGGGAUAGCCUCUCGAAAGAGAGAUUAAGCCCGCAUAAAAUCACAGCACAGCAUUGUGUAAUGAUCAAAUAUUUAUAGGAUAAAGAUGGGCAUGCGGAACAUUAGCUAGAUGGCGGGGUAACGGCCCACCAGGGCGACGAUGCUUAGGGGAUCUGAGAGGAUGGCCCCCGAGCUGGGUACUGGGACACGGACCAGGGGCCUAAGGCAGGCAGCAGUAAGGAAUAGUGGGCAGUGGGCGGGAGCAUGAGACAGCCAUGCCGAGUGCAGGAAGACGGCCCUGCGGGUUGUAAACUGCUUUUAUACGGGAAUAACCCCAGAUACGUGUAUCUGGCUGAAUGUACUGUAAGAAUAAGGAUCGGCUAACUCCGUG